GCCCCUGGACCUCCAACAGCCCAAGAUGAUUCUCUGUGCAGUAGCCUCAGCAGCCACCUGAGAUGCAACGCAAUGUUCCUGGUCAGCAGGGGUGGCCACCCUACUCCACAGUGAUCCAUCCCAGAGCCCCUCAGUGCAGUGACCAAGACCCGGGCUGCAGAGGCUGGGCUGUGGCACACAGCUGUCUUCAGGAGGACAAGCAAUUUAACAUACCAAGGCAUCUGACAUGAGAGGAGAAGCUAUUUUCUUCAUUGGAAAAAUAUUUCAGAUGAUAUGAAUUGUACACAGUAAAAUUGAAAACAGACCAAAGUGGGUUUUGCUGUUGCCAAAACCCACUUCUACAGGGCCUGGCCAGAGGAUUUCCAUCCCUGAGCACUGGACCAGGAAUGUUCCCAGCACAGGGACUCUGGCAGGGAGAAUCUGUGUCUGUAUGGUCCCCUGCACUUGCUGAGGAGAUUGGCCAGCAGUGGGCUGCCUUCAGGUGUCCAUCCCAGGAAAGGCAGUGCUUGCAGCAACUGCCUGGCCUGGUUCCGUCUGAGGCAUCAGUGGUUCCUGUGAACACGAGCAGAACCUGGAGCUGUCAUCCACGUGUGGCCCAUGACAGUGGCAGCUUUGUGAUACCCUGUGCCAUGUCCAGUCUCCACAUUGGCCGCUGCUAUGACACCCGACAGGAACCCAAAGCAGAGAGGGAUUCAGGAGCAGACCAGCUACUGCUUGGCUCCCACAAAUGGUCACCUUGGAACUCUUUAUGGAAGAGGACAAAACACCACCACCACCACCGUUUCAUAACCCUGCAGUGAAUGUGGAGACAACAACCACCCACCCCCAAAAGGAAACUCCAGCAGGGUACAUGUAUCGAACCUAUGGUGUUGGUCAAGUAUUUUGGAUCAAUAAGUGAGGUUGUACUUUUGACUGGUAAGUGUAAAUCUAAUUCCCUUGGAGGGGAUAUUAUUCUCUGAGGUUACCCCAACCUAAAUUGUUGGCCCGUGGGGAGAUGUGUUUUCUGUAUUGGUUGUAUUGAUGUAGUCUCUUUAGGCCAGUGAAUUAAAGCUCCAUAGGGUCUUGUCCUAUUCCCGCCUCUUCAUGGGAAGGUCCAUUUCACCGAUUGGAAGAGACAGUAAAACCCUCGCGUGGCCAUUUAUAUGAAUCACUAUUUAGGGAACAAGUGAUUAUGCUACCUUUGCAGGGGCAGGAUACCAUGGCCAUUUCACGAAUGUCCCUGGGCAGGCAGGGCCUCUAAUACUACAAAUGCUAGAGGUGAUUUUAUUGGUAAACAGGUGGGUUUGUGUUCACUGAGUUCCUUUUACUUCUGUUCAUCUUUCCUUGAUUGCCUAUCUGUGUUGGGUCAACAAUUGGUUUGAUAUUGACUUUACAGUUAGGUUAUUUUUAUCUUAUGGUUAACUAUCCAUGGUUAUCUGUUCCGAUAGAAGCUUAUGCAAGGACAAAUAUUUCUUGUUGCACAUACUAGCAUUAUCACUUCUAGUGUGAAAUUCACCCGGUCGUAACUUAGGGGUUGGUUGUCUUUUUUUCGUAUUCGGAUAUUAAGAUCGUAUGCCAGUGCCUGAGCCCUACUAUGAUCGUUCAUCACCACAGCCCUAAAAACCACCCACAGUAUGCGAAUCAUAUUUUUCGCCCUUCUAGGACAGCCUGAUACACCUACUUGGCGAUGCAGGGGUGUAAUGCUCGAACCCCUCAUCAGCGAUGGACGGGUGUCAUGCUAGCACUCCCCCAUCGGCAAGGGAGUAGUGAUGCCACUACUAAAUCUGACAUUUCCGAAUAGCUUUCAUCACUGUCAGAGCU
ensembl:lncRNA